rnacentral:lncRNA from 1 species
GGCAGCCGGUUCCGGUUCGGACUUUGUAUCUUUGCUAAAGUCAGUGAUGUGAAAAGACUUGAAAUGGAUGAUAUUGCUGAUAGGAUGAGGAUGGAUGCUGGAGAAGUGACUUUAGUGAACCACAACUCCGUAUUCAAAACCCACCUCCUGCCACAAACAGGUUUUCCAGAGGACCAGCUUUCGCUUUCUGACCAGCAGAUUUUAUCUUCCAGGCAAGGACAUUUGGACCGAUCUUUUACAUGUUCCACAAGAAGUGCAGCUUAUAAUCCAAGCUAUUACUCAGAUAAUCCUUCCUCAGACAGUUUUCUUGGCUCAGGCGAUUUAAGAACCUUUGGCCAGAGUGCAAAUGGCCAAUGGAGAAAUUCUACCCCAUCGUCAAGCUCAUCUUUACAAAAAUCAAGAAACAGCCGAAGUCUUUACCUCGAAACCCGAAAGACCUCAAGGUUCGUAUUUUGUCAUCUUAGUUCUCAAGCCCUUCCUCAGACAUAAGAGAAAGUGACUAAAAGGUAGAUAGUUAUUACAUUGGGAUUUUAAAAGAGUAACACCAUUUUUGGACUUUAAACCUUAAGGAUAUGAACAAAUCCAUUUUACAUUUUCAACUUCUCAUUUACUUAGUGCUGAAUUUUGAUGAUAGCCAGAUCUUACUAGAAGAGAGAAUUUUAAGUAAAUCUUGGUGGAUAUGAGAAUAUUG